UACGUAGGGGGCAAGCGUUGUCCGGAUUUACUGGGCGUAAAGAGCGUGUAGGCGGCCACGCAGGUCCGUUGUGAAAACUGGAGGCUCAACCUUCAGACGUCGACGGAAACCGUGUGGCUAGAGUCCGGAAGAGGAGAGUGGAAUUCCGUGGUGUAGCGGUGAAAUGCGCAGAUAUCAGGAAGAACACCAAUGGCGAAGGCAGCUCUCUGAGACGGUACUGACGCUGAGACGCGAAAGCGUGGGGAGCGAACAGG
rnacentral:rRNA from 1 species